rnacentral:tRNA from 1 species
GCGGGAAUAGCUCAGUUGGUAGAGUACGACCUUGCCAAGGUCGGGGUCGCGAGUUCGAGUCUCGUUUCCCGCUCCAACU